GACGAACGCUGGCGGCGUGCUUAACACAUGCAAGUCGAACGGAAAGGCCCUGCGUUUGUGGGGUGCUCGUUUGGCGAACGGGUGAGUAACACGUGUGUAACCUGUCCCUGUCUUUGGGAUAUCUUCAGGAAACUGGGGCUAUUACCGGAUAGGAGCUCUUGCUGCAUGUUGGGGGUUGGAAAGAUUCGGCGGUUGGGGCUGGACUCGCGGCUUAUCCGCUUGUUUGUGGGGUAGUGGUAUACCAAGGCUUAGACGGGUAGCCGGCAUUAGAGGGGGAACGGCGACAAGGCGACUGCGGGACGGCGCAGACUGGUACGUGAGGCAGCAGUGGAGAGUAUUGCACAAUAGGGCGAAGCGUGAUGCAGCAACGCCGCGUGCGUAAUGAUGGCUUACGGGUUAAAAACAGAUUUCGCCUGAGACGAAGCGUGAGUGACGGUAAUGGGUAAGGAAGCACCGGCUAACUACGUG
rnacentral:rRNA from 1 species